rnacentral:rRNA from 1 species
CCUACGGGUGGCAGCAGUGGGGAAUAUUGCACAAUGGGGGAAACCCUGAUGCAGCGACGCCGCGUGAAGGAAGAAGUAUUUCGGUAUGUAAACUUCUAUCAGCAGGGAAGAAAAUGUCGGUACCUGACUACGCAGCCCCGGCUAACUAAGGGCCAGCAGCCGCGGUCAUCCGUAGGGGGCAAGCGUUAUCCGGAUUUACUGGGUGUAUAGGGAGCGUAGGCGGUUUAGCAAGUCAGAAGUGAAAGCCCGGGGCUCAACUCCGGGACUGCUUUUGAAACUGUUGAACUAGAUUGCAGGAGAGGUAAGUGGAAUUCCUAGUGUAGCGGUGAAAUGCGUAGAUAUUAGGAGGAACUCCAGUGGCGAAGGCGGCUUACUGGACUGUAACUGACGCUGAGGCUCGAAAGCGUGGGUAGCAAACAGGAUUAGAUACCCGAGUAGUC